GACUGCUAUCGGAUUGAUACUAAGCCAUGCGAGUCAUUGUAUGAGAUACAAGGCAGACGGCUCAGUAACGCGUAGUCAAUCUACCCUAUGGACGGGAAUAACCUCGGGAAACUGAGAAUAAUGCCCGAUAGAACAUUAUGCCUGGAAUGGUUUAUGUUUCAAAUGAUUUAUCGCCAUAGGAUGGGACUGCGGCCUAUCAGUUUGUUGGUGAGGUAAUGGCCCACCAAGACUAUUACAGGUACGGGCUCUGAGAGGAGUAGCCCGGAGAUGGGUACUGAGACACGGACCCAGGCCCUAUGGGGCGCAGCAGGCGAGAAAACUUUGCAAUGUGCGAAAGCACGACAAGGUUAAUCCGAGUGGUUUCUGCUAAAGAAACCUUUUGUCAGUCCUAGAAACACUAACGAAUAAGGGGUGGGCAAGUUCUGGUGUCAGCCGCCGCGGUAAAACCAGCACCUCAAGUGGUCAGGAUGAUUAUUGGGCCUAAAGCAUCCGUAGCUCGUUUUGUAAGUUUUCGGUUAAAUCCAUACGCUUAACGUAUGGGCUGCCGGGAAUACUGCAUAACUAGGAAGUGGGAGAGGUAGACGGUACUCGGUAGGAAGGGGUAAAAUCCUUUGAUCUAUUGAUGACCACCUGUGGCGAAGGCGGUCUACCAGAACACGUUCGACGGUGAGGGAUGAAAGCUGGGGGAGCAAACCGGAUUAGAUACCCGGGUAGUCCCAGCUGUAAACUAUGCAAACUCAGUGAUGCAUUGGCUUGUGGCCAAUGCAGUGCUGCAGGGAAGCCGUUAAGUUUGCCGCCUGGGAAGUACGUACGCAAGUAUGAAACUUAAAGGAAUUGGCGGGGGAGCACCACAAGGGGUGAAGCCUGCGGUUCAAUUGGAGUCAACCGCCG
rnacentral:rRNA from 1 species